CAUAUACAUCCCAAUAUAUAUACAAUUAUUCACAAUCUGUGUCCAUAUACAUCCCAAUAUAUAUAUACAAUUAUUCACAAUCUGUGUCCAUAUACAUCCCAAUAUAUAUACAAUUAUUCACAAUCUGUGUCCAUAUACAUCCCAAUAUAUAUACAAUUAUUCACAAUCUGUGUACAUAUACAUCCCAAUAUAUAUAUACAAUUAUUCACAAUCUGUGUACAUAUACAUC
rnacentral:lncRNA from 1 species